rnacentral:misc_RNA from 1 species
ACACCUCAACUCUCAUGGUUUGCCGUGAUGAGCUUGGACUUUGGAGGUUUUGCUGGCCCAUGGUCGGCUCCUCUCAAACAGAUUAGCUUGCCAGUUUUCGGUGGCGUGACAGGUGUGAUAACUAUCUACGCUCGUGGUCGUCUGCUGGUUAACCUUUCGGUGACGGAGGUUUGCUGGAGCUUAUAAAUGUCUCUCCUCAGCGAAGACAGCUAUUUGAAC